rfam:Fukomys damarensis contig125821, whole genome shotgun sequence.
AUCUAAGGCCAUCCCACCCUGAAUUCGCUCAUUCUCAUUUGAUCUGGAAGCUAAGCAGGUUUGGGCCUGGUUAGUACUUGGAUGGGAGAAUGUUUGGCUAUUGUGCCUA